UACAGGGGGUGCAAGCGUUGUUCGGAAUUACUGGGCGUAAAGGGCGCGUAGGCGGCCUAAUAAGUCAGAUGUGAAAGCCCGGGGCUUAACUCCGGAAGUGCAUUUGAAACUGCUAGGCUAGAGUACAGUAGAGGUUGGUGGAAUUCCCAGUGUAGAGGUGAAAUUCGUAGAUAUUGGGAGGAACACCAGUGGCGAAGGCGGCCAACUGGGCUGUAACUGACGCUGAGGCGCGAAAGCGUGGGGAGCAAACAGG
rnacentral:rRNA from 1 species